ensembl:lncRNA
CGCUUCCCUCAGUUGGAGUUUGGCUCUGGGCAGUGCCUCUGGGCAGGACACGGAGGCACAGGAGGAUGUGGGGAGGGAGCCUGGGCUGUGGCAGGUGGAGAGGCUGGCUGCCCUUGUGAGCAGCGAUGGCUUUCUUGCUGGGCAUCUCCUCUCACUUCUGCGUCCUUCUUGCAGAUCACAAGCCCGACGCUCUUCAUCUAAGCCCACAAAGGGCCAACUGUUGGCAAAAUGCCUCAGAAGAGGAUCUUUUUGUCCCCAAGUUUUUUGCCCAAGGAUGAGGUGCCAGAAUUUCUACUGGCGGAUCUCGCUGAACAACAAGAGGCUCAAGAACGCCAGUUCCUUCGUGGCCACUUUCCACCCCUGCGGACGAGUGACCUCGACCUGCUGGCAGAAGAGGAGACUGCAGAGGUGUCUGUAAGUGUGCUGCCGCCUAUGGGAAAGAGCUGGGCACAGAGUCGCCUGGAGAUCGAGCGGGAGGGAGUGGUCAGGCUCCCUCCCCUGCGCGCACGGCUGGGAAGAUCACUGGCCAGGCAGCAGUUCAGAGCACCCCAAGUCCAGCAGCGCUUCCCCCCACUGAAGAACACCCCCCAGGAGGGGGAGAAAGCGCAGCCAGGAAAAAUCUCCAGCAAGGAGACAAGCAAAGAGAUUGCUUCCCACCUUCGUCGAGCAGAGAAUGGGAGGACAGUGGCCCCACCAGCAGAGAUGGCAGUGCCCACUGUCCAGUCACUACGGGCAAGACAGGUCCUGGGAACCUUGGAGUCCUACAAGGUGUGCCGGGAAGGAUGGAGGAAGAAGGUGGAGGAAAACAGGCUCCUUCCUGCCAGACCCAAGGAGCGCCUCUGCUUUGUGAAGAAGAUGGAGCUCCAGGAGGCCAGAGGAAAACACAAGAACAUGUGAGAGCACACCACGGGCUCACAGUUCGGCCAAUUUCUACCGCACCCACUCACACCAUGGCAGUAAACAACGAAGCCCCAGGAUUGACAGCAGUGGGGCUGAGAGGAGGCACAUUGAUACAGGAGCUGCCUCCCUUGUUACCACCAUUGUCUCUGCUGUAACAGCAAAGCAGAGCCAUUCUUAGUACAAGAAGUGCCAAAUAAACAUCCUUGGA